CCAGUGCCGUUUAUUUCAGGUUAAUGGCGCGACUUCUUUAAAAAGGACGGGAAAAUUGGUCCAAGAAAAAGACCAACAAAGAAGUUGUUGCCAUCAAGUUAAAACAUGAUGGAAACAAUCAAUUCUAAGUUCAAUGAAAAACAGUAAAUGAACAAUAAAAAACAUACUAGUUGAUUCUUUCAAAAGCAUCAAAAGGAAUAAGUAUUGUUGUGGAUUUGUUGAAAUUUAAGUUGACUUUAGAUGGAUUUGGCUAUUUUUUAGGUGCUUUUUGGUAAUAAAACACUUCAAAAGUUUCGGGUCUUAUACAUUUUUGGCUUUUAAAUAUUCAUCUUUGAGAGUACCUGCUGAAGGUAAAUCAAGAAAAGCGCUUCGGAAACGUGAAAUGUGUAACGUCCUUUUUUCAAUUUUUGAAGAAAGUUAGAGCCGUAACGAUUUAAAUAGGAUUGCAGAUUUUUCACUGCCAGUAUGAUCAUAAGUCGGAGAAUAUGAGUUGAACGACAUAGGUCUACAUAAAGAGUAUGAUUAGAAAAUUAACCAGACGGAGUCAUACACGUGAUGAAAAGAAAUCGAUGUAUUGAUUGCAUAUUGGUGCUAAAUGUGCAGUUAAC
rnacentral:lncRNA from 1 species